rnacentral:tRNA from 1 species
AAUGAAGUGUCUGAUUAAUAGAAUUAUUUUGAUAGAAUAAAGCAUGUGAUAACUAUCACCUUCAUUA